rnacentral:lncRNA from 1 species
GCUUCACAAGAAGGAGACCUGUGAGGCUGUUACCAUUAUUGAAGCCCCUCCAAUGGUGGUGGUUGGAGUUGUGGGAUAUGUGAAGACACCUCGUGGUCGUGGUCUUCGCUCUUUGAACACUGAGCGAGCUUGUUUUUAAGUUAUAGAGGCAUAGAGCGAGUGAAUGGAUAAGAUCCGUCUGAUGGAUGCCACGAGGGAUAAUAUCUGCGGCGGGCGGUUAGUUGCGAGUCUUGAGACCUUAACGGUUUUGUACGUGACUUGUUCAUCUUCCGACUGUCACCGUCUGAUUUAAUAAUAAAGUUAAUUAGGGUCCGUUUGAAAUUAUUUUUAGAGAGAUUUAAAAAUAAUUUUAAAAAAUUAAAAUUUAAUUUUAACAUUUAAUUAUUUUUUAUAAAUUACUUUUGAAAAACUCGUCUUAAAUUAUUCUAAAUUAUUCUAUGAUAGAUUUUAAAAAACAUGAAUAGAGUAGUUUUUGAAAAUUUAAUUUUAAAAAUUAGUUUUAUAUCUGAUAAAAUUUUGUAUACAUCAUUACAUCCUCAUAUAUAUUACAAAAAUCUAAAAUUGUCUUUAUUAAUUAAGAAAUAAAAUGACUAACUUUAAAUAAAUUGUUAUUACCAUCAAUGAUAUUGAAAUAAUAAAAUAAAAAUAAAAUUAAUAAUAUAAAAUAUUUAUUUUAAUUACCUAUUAUUAUAUAUACACAAUAAAAAAUAUUAUAUAUAUAUAUAUAUGUUUAUAAAUGUAUAAAUAAAUUUCAAUCAAUAUUAUUUCAAAUUCGUAGUUCAAUAGUAAGAUUCACUAAAUAUAUAUGAAUAUUUCUAAAACAAUUGUUUUAAAAUUCACAGUAUUUUUAAAAAUAAAUUUUAUCAAAGGUUUAAUUAAUUAUAUUUAUAAUUGAUUAUUUUUAUAGUACAGUUAACCACCGUAAUUAUUUUUAAAGCUACAUAAUUAUUAAAUUUCCCCUUAAUUAAAUAAAUACAUUAUAAUUCAUUUUAUUAGGAGCUAAAACUUAAUUUUAAGCUGUUAGUAUAAAAUAACUUCCAAUGAACCAAAAUAUGUGUUCCAAAUUAGGAGCUAAAACUUUCCAUUUUAAGCUAAACAAAAACCGGCCUAAAAGCCCGCCUUGGCCUUAGCCUAAACCCAACUUGGGUUGCAAAACCCAGGCUUUGGUCUGGCCCAAGUGGUAUGGACCCAACAUUUUCGUGCAUUUCGUGAUUUUAUCCCUUAAAUAAUAUUUUUCAAAACUUCUACCCAACAGCUUAUCAAUUGUGAUAUUCUAAACCCUGAUAUUCCCUAAUCUGAAUUUAAAACUUAAAGCUCUGUUUGUUGAAAUUCAGAAGAAUUCCACAAUAAAAAAUAACAGAAGCUGAAUUUAAAGCUUAUCAAUUGUAAUUUAUCUUAGAUUGAUAAAUUAAAGAUGAAGCUGUCAUACCUCGUUGUUUAAUUAAUUAGUGUUUAUGAAGUAGAAGUACCAAUUAAUUAAAAAUAUUUAAAUAUGAUCAUAUAACAAUUGUAGUCUUUUGUUGAUUCCAAAAAAUUUAUCCAGGGAUAACUGCAUGACGUGGCAAAGGCUGAAGACUAAAGCUGAGGCCGUGUUUAAUAUUAUGGUUAAGCAUCUGUAGUUUAAAAGAGUACACACUUUAGUGUUUACCUGUAAUAUUUUUACUAUUCCGUAAAAUUAUUAUUUGAAAAACUAUAUUUAUCACACACUAUGAACUCUUUUCUUUUUCUUUUUCUUUUUGUCGUAACUACAAUUUUUUUUUCAUAGCAGUGAGUUUUGGGUGUUCAAAAUUUCAAACAACUACUAUAUUGAAUUUUAAUUUAACACUAAAAAUGGUGAAGCCCACAAAUAUUAUUAGAGAAUUCAGAAGGGAGAAAAAGAUAUUUUGAUUAAUAUUUUUUAUUAAAAAAAUAGUGGUCUAUGUUGACGAACCCUACAAAUUAAAUUUAAAUUUAAAUAAUGGUGAAUACUACGAUGUAUUAUCUAUAAAGGUUGUUGUUAAUUAGUUACCCCAUUGCAAUCAAUAUACCACAAAUUGAACAUGGCUUUGCUCAUCAUAUUCCUUGUGUCACUCCCAGUAAUCAUUUACUUUCUACAUCUCCAAAGGAAACGCAUAAACAAAGCCAAAACGACAAGCGGUUUAUUACCACCAGGACCUCGAGGUCUUCUCUUAAUCGGAAACCUACACCAGCUUGAAAGCACAAACCUUCAUUACCAACUCUGGAAUCUAUCCAAAAAAUAUGGCCCACUGAUGUCACUGCGCCUUGGCCUCGUGCAGACCGUAGUAGUUUCUUCAGUGAAAAUGGCUAAAGAAGCUCUGAAAACCCAUGAUGUUGAAUUUAGCGGCAGGCCGGCGUUGGUUGGCCAGCAAAAAUUAACCUACAAUGGGUUAGAUGUUGCCUUUGCCCCGUACAACGACUAUUGGAAAGAGAUGAGGAAAAUAUGUGUCACUCAUCUUUUUAAUGCCAGUAGAGUCCACCAUUUUCGUGCCGUGAGAGAAGAUGAGGUGGCACGUAUGAUCGAGAAAAUUUCAUCAUUAUCAUCAUCACCAGCAACGGCGGUGAUUAAUAUAAGUGAGUGUUUAAUGUCACUUACAAAUUCGGUCAUAUGUAUGGUUGCGUUUGGGAAGAAGUUUGAGAACAAAGCUGGCGAAAGAAGCAAGUUCCACUCGUUACUUGACGAGACUAGGGUUGUGUUGGGAGCCUUCUAUUUCAAAGAUUUUUUUCCUUUCUUGGGUGGUUUUUUUGAUAAGCUCUCGGGAAUCACUCGUCGUCUCGAAAACAACUUCAAAGAAUUUGAUGCAUUUUACCAACAACUCAUCGAGGAGCAUGCAGAUCCAAACAGACCAAAAGACCAAAUACGUGGGGAUAUAAUUGAUGUUUUACUUCAAGUUCAGAAAGAUCGUGCUGAGGAUGAAGUUCAUGGAUUCUCUCGGGAUAACAUCAAAGCUGUACUCAUGGUAAACUUAUACCUAAUAUUACUGUCGUAAAUUUUUUUAACUGUUAAAUGGGACUUUUUAAGGUUUAAAUAUUAUUCUUGUGGGGAUGUAUAUUAAAAUCAAAACAAAUCAAAUCUGCCAGUGAACAGUGUAUUUAAUAAGAACAAAUAUGUUUAUAUUUGGGACCAAAAGAUCAUUAGCCGGCAUGCGCACUAUUAUUAUUUAUGGAAUGAAAGUUUUUCGUUGCGUUCAGAACGUAUUUGUCGGUGCCACGGACACGAGUGCAGCUACAAUGACAUGGGCAAUGACUAACGUAAUGAAGAAUCCAAGAGUAAUGGAGAAAGCACAGAAGGAAGUGAGGGAUUUGAUCGGAAAUAAAGGGUUUGUAGAUGAAGAUGAUUUGCAAAAACUGCCAUAUAUCAAAGCCAUACUAAAAGAGACAUUCAGGUUGAAUCCGCCGGGUCCAAUAAUACCCAGAGAAACAACCAAGAGUUGCAUGAUAGAUGGAUACGAGAUACCAGCUAAGACACUUGUUUAUUUGAAUGGAUGGGCAAUAUCUAGAGAUCCCGAAGUUUGGGAGAGGCCAGAUGAAUUUGAUCCUGACAGAUUCAUCAUUGGCGAUAAGUCCUAUAUUGAAUUGACAGGACAAAAUAAUUAUGAGCUUAUACCAUUUGGUGGUGGCAGAAGAUUUUGUCCCGGGACUCAUAUGGGGAUUGCAACAUUGGAGCUUGCAAUUGCUAAUCUUCUUUACAAAUUUGAUUGGGAAAUGCCUGCUGGGAUGAAGAUUCAAGACUUGGAUUUUGACAUCGCCCCUGGUAUCGUUAUGCACAAGAAGAAUCCUCUCUGUCUUGUAGCUACCAAAUAUAUGUGAUUUACAAGUACUUGUGCUAUGCCUAAAUAAAAUAAUAAAAAUAAAAAAUCGAAUGUGUAUGAAUAAGAAAUUGUACUUGCUUAUAAAGAAUUUAUUUAUGCAAAUUCGUCUGUCCAGAAUAAUUGAUGUAUCCUCUGUCUAACAAGUUUUGCAUGUCCCUUUUUUUUUUUCUUUACCAAAAAAUUUUUAAAAUAUUUUUUGUAAACGUACCUAUCCAUCAUGUUGUGGACCAAGAUCUCCCUUUCAUUUUAAUAAGUACAUCAUUUCUCUCUCCGUAUUUUCAAAACCUAUCAAAGCUCUCUUGCUGUUAAAAUAAAAUAAAAUGUUAUCUUUUAAGUUUGUCUUUUUUUUUUUUCCAUGAUCAAUGAUGAAUUUUACAUCAAGGAUAAAAAAGUAGAAGACGCGACAAUAAAAAACGACAAUUUGCAGCUUUUUUAACGUCAAUGAACUGGGAGUUUGAGUAUGUACAGGAGUUUCUAACAAUUUUCCCACGCGUAGUUAGUGUUUCUAUGAAGCUGUUAAUUAUCAAGUCAGUCAGAUAAACACUACAUGUUUGAUUAUAUAAUCAAAUAUUUUGGGGUUUGAUUACCCUUUUUUUUUUCCUUGUGUGUAAGCAUUUGGGUCUUAAUAUGAGGCUUAAGCAACACGAGGUUUCUCAUACAAAUAAGUUUCCUUAGUGGCUGCGAUUUGGUUUAAUUUGUAGAUUGCUUGAUGCGAGAUUAAAGAAACGAACAUACAAAGUUUCCUCAUUGCACUUCAGAUCUACCGUUGCGUUAGAUUUCAUCCGCAAAUAAUUAAAUGAUCAAUUAAUUUUUUUUUUUUUUAAGGAUAAGAGAAGAACAAUAUUCUUAAACUAAACAUUUCGUAUAAGAAAUUUAAUGUGUGCGCCAUUUUAUAAUUAAGGAUGGUAUAAGAACGAUGAUCAUGUUAUAUUGGUGGAGAAUAAUAAUUAUCGAAAUGACUUUACUUAUCUACUUUAGCAGGAGAAAUUAAAUCAGGUAAAUAUUAAUUUAGUUUUUAUAUUUUAAUUUAAAUGCACGCUUAAUCUUUAUAUAUUUAAAAACACCUCAAGAGUCAAGAUACCUCUGCUGUUAAAUAUAUUAUAUUCCUACACAUAUUUUUCUUUUCUUUUGCAAUAAUACUUUUGCAACAAUAUUCUUGCCUUAUUGAGGAUAUUAAUGGAAAGAAAAAAAAAUGUUGACUUAUUAAAUUAGCCUCAAAAGUAACAUAAAAAUUUCCAAAAAUUUUUAUGUUAUUAUUUGACUUGUAGGACUAAUUUGGUAAAUUAAUUUUUUGUAAAAUAACAAUAAAUGAAAUCUUUGCAAGGAUAUUAAGCAUGCUUUAACUUGCAUUAAUUUAUUUAUAAAUGAAUUAUUAGCAAGAUUAUUGCACCGGUACCCAAAAAAAACUAGUUCUUUCAUACUGAUUUUUUUUUUGUUAAUAUUCGAACAAAUAAUUAUUAUUAAUUUACUAAUUACAUUUUUAUAAGUAAAUUAAUUAAUGUCAAGAAUAUUAUUGUAAAAGUAAACAAAAAGUAAGGUAAGAAUGUAAAAUAUUUAACUAUAAAGGUGUUUUCAGGUAUUUUUAGAGUGAGCUUAUUUGAACCUAUUAAACUAUUUAUUAAACUCAUUUACGAAAUAAACUCACUAUUGAAAUUAAAAUUUUUAAUUUUUACUCUCUAAACUUACCUAAGUACCUAAUAAAGCCUUACUAAAUAAAAUUAUUAAUAAAUCAAAUUUAAUUAAACCCACUGUUUUGGUCUCUUCCUCUGUCCUUGUUCUUCUUUGUUUUGUAUUUUGUAUUCUUUAUUUAUCAGUCAUCAAUGGCUCAAAAGAGGGAGUAAUGAUAUUAGCCAUUGUCAAUUUGGUAUUUGCAACUAUAAUGGUCUUGAAAGUACUGUAAAUCUAUUGUAAUAUGAAGACUUGAUAAAUUAACAAUCAAGCAAGGCUUCAUAUUAACCAUACAAGGAAUUACAUAGCCUGAACAUAGAUGCUUAUUGCUCGCAUCACAACAAAAGCGAAAGAAGAAAUUCACAUCAAAUUAUGGAUCCUAAAUAAUCGAAUAAGAUUAAUCGUUUAACUUGGUUUUAAUCCUUUAUUGUUUUGGCAACCCCUAUGAAUUUAAGAGUAGUAUUUAUGAAUCUAUAAUUAUAACUUCAUUUUUUCCUAGUUAUUUUUUCUGUCCUUAAACAUAAUUGUGUUAAUGGAUAUUUUGGUAAUAAAAGCUUUUAUAAAAUAUUGACUUUAUAGAUUAUUUUGAUGGGUUUAAAUAGCCAUACUCGUAUUUUUGAAAUAUAAGUACUUAACAGACAUUUAAAUUAAAAUAUAAAAACUAAACAAAUAUUUAUCCAUUAAAUUAAAAAUUGUUCCAAAAUUUCACAUCUUGAGCGAAAAAUACCUCAUUAUUUUAUUCUCGUUAAAGUCAAUUCCACGAGAAUAUGGUUUUAGGAGAAACAUCAUAUGCACCACAUUAAUCAUACAAAAAAUUCAAUAACAUUUUGUCAUGUUUGUAUUAAAGAAAAAGAAAAUAUCAAAUUAAUGAACAGUUUUAUGUAUAUCAAAUAAAGUAUUGAUUGAUUGGAUUAUCACCAAAUCUAUAAAAGAUUUCCUAAGAAAGUCUAUGAAAGAAUUAAUACUAAAAAAAUUAAUUAGAUGCCGACAAAGGAGGAUCUGCAAGUCAUCUUAAUACUACACCUAAUACAAUUUUUUUCCAAUACUUAUGAUAAGAUAUUUGUGAGACCUUUAUUAGCUUUUAUCGAUCAACAUGUAUGAUAAGUAUUUCUGGUACCAUUAAUAAAUUCGCGAGGAAGAAAGAAAACAACAUUAAGGGUAAUUUUAGGAAUUUUCUCUUAGAAGAAUUAAACCGACUGUUAGAUUUGAAGGAGAUUCGAAAGUGAUUGAUUUAGAGAAACAUCAAAAGUAGCUUAUUAUUAUGCAACAAUUCUAUAGCAUCUUUGUCAGGAGUGCGUUUGUAUUGAAAAAUUGUCAAAUAAUUGGACAGUUAAUUAGAUUAAAUAAAGUACAGAUAUCAUAGUUUCAAUUAUUAAUUGUAUUACCACAUAUGUCUAAAGGGAAAUUUACAAAAUUAGCCAUAAAACUUUUACGUUUUUCAACUUUAACCCCCCAAAGUUUUUUCUAUCAUAACUAGCCAAACACCUUAUGUUUGGACUACAUUACCCUCAUCACUUUCAUCAAAUUUACAAAGCCAUGCCACUUUUUCAAUUCCAGUACAAGUAAAUACGGAUCUUCCUCAACAACUUAACAAACCUUCAUCACUCUCAACAAACUUCAUCAUUCUCAAUAAAUCAAUUGCAUAAUUGAAUAUAUAAUCAUCAAUGGGAGAGCUUCUUAAAAUUAGUUUAUGCUCUUACACAAUGUAAACCUUUAAUCUAUUGAUUUUAUCAACUAAGUUCGAAAUUAAAGUGGGUUUUGUUGCAAAUAUUGUUAUUUUUCAUUAAUAAAACAAUGUGAUUUGUUAAAGUACUUAGUUUGAGUUGAGAAAUGAAGAAAAAUCAUUGAAAACACAAAAAAAUCGGGCAAAAAAUGAAGUUCAGAACAAGUGAGACAUGCAAGUGGGACAGGUGCCUGUCUCACAUAAACGCACUGCAUUUAUGUGCGACAGGCACCUGUCCCACUGCUUGUCGCACAUAAACCCACGGAUUUUAUGGAGUACAUGAUUUUGGAUUUGAUUUGUCUCGUCGUAAGCUUCGAAACGGUAUAUUAUACGCCUAAAACGAACAUAUAUAGCUUAAGUUAUGGCUUUCGAAACAUAUAUGAAAUUUAGUGAGACAGGCAAGUGGGACAGGUGCUUGUCGCACAUAAACGCACUGCAUUUAUGUGCGAUAGGCACCUGUCCCACUGCUUGUCGCACAUAAACUCACGGCGUUUAUGGAAUACAUGAUUUUGGAUUUGAUUUGUCUCGUCGUAAGCUUCGAAAUGGUAUAUUAUACGCCUAAAACGGACAUAUAUAGCUCAAGUUAUGGCUUUCGAGACAUAUAUGAAAUUUAGUGAGACAGGCACAUGUCCCACUUGUCUGUCUCACUAAAUUUCAUAUAUAUUUCGAAAGCCAUAACUUGAGCUAUAUAUGUCCGUUUUAGGCGUAUAAUAUACCGUUUCGAAGCUUACGAUGAGACAAAUCAAAUCCAAAAUCAUGUAUUCCAUAAAAUCCGUGGGUUUAUGUGCGACAAGCAGUGGGACAGGUGUCUGUCGCACAUAAAUGCAGUGCGUUUAUGUGAGACAUGCACCUGUCCCACUUGCAUGUUUCACUUGUUCUGAACUUCGUUUUUUGCCCGAUUUUUCUGUGUUUUCAAUGAUUUUUCUUCAUUUCUCAACUCAAACUAAGUACUUUAACAAAUCACAUUGUUUUAUGAAUGAAAAAUAACAAUAUUUACAACAAAACCCACUUUAAUUUCGAAUUUAGUUGAUAAAAUCAAUAGAUUAAAGGUUUACAUUGUGUAAGAGCAUAAACUAAUUUUAAGAAGCUCUCUCAUUGAUGAUUAUAUAUUCAAUUAUGCAAUUGAUUUGUCGAGAAUGAUGAAGUUUGUUGAGAGUGAUGAAGGUUUGUUAAGUUGUUGAGAAAGAUCCGUAUUUACUUGUACUGGAAUUGAAAAAGUGGCAUGGCUUUGUAAAUUUGAUGAAAGUGAUGAGGGUAAUGUAGUCCAAACUUAGGGUGUUUGGCUAGUUAUGAUAAAAAAAACUUUGAAGGACUAAAGUUGAAAAACGCAAAAGUUUUAUGGCCAUUUUUAUAAAUUUCCCAUGUCUUAAAUAGGUGUUCAUUUCAUUUGUACAGUUGUUCUCGUUACUAACUACAUGGCAUGAUAAGACAUUUGUGGGGCUCAUUAAUUUUUUUGUAAAGUUUCUUGUAAUGCUAACGCUUGAUAAGAUUGGCAGAAAUUAUUAGUUUCUUCAUUUUAUUAAUUGAGUUGAUUUAAAAAUGAGUUCUAUGGUGAAUUACUACCGUUCAAAGUUAACUAUGAUUAUAAGGGUAGUGCUUUGAUCUCCCUCAAUUAAGUAUGAUUGUUUGUAAUUUAUUUAUAAGUAUUUCUCUCUUACGAAAUACGAGUGGAGUAGAGAUAUCUCUCGUCUGUGAGAGGUAUUUGUCGGGACAUGUACUCUAUAGAAUUUAAUAUAAUAAUGUAAGUCUGAGUUAUAUAUCUGAUUGUAAAUAUCAGUGUAAUGAUCUGCUGUUAUAGCAAUUGUAAAUAUCUAUAUAAUACAAUAAUCUGAUAUAUAAUCAAUAUUAAAAAAAAUGAGUUCAGAUAAUGAGAAAAUCAUGAUAUGUGAUAAGAUUCCUUUUAGACAAAAAAAAAAAAAAAUCAUGUGUAAUGAGAUACAUAUGGGACCAUCACUAAAUUUUUGGGGAAAAAAAUAAAAACAUUAACCAAAAUGUUAGGCAUCCACUUUUAGAAGAUUUUUUAUAUUAAGUUAACAUCUAUUUUUAGAAGAUCUUUUAAUAUUAAGUGUUAUAUUCAAAAGAGAUUUUUGGAGAAAAAAAUAAAAACAACAUUAACCAAAACGUUAGGCAUCCACUUUUAGAAGAUUUUUUAUAUUAAGUUAACAUCUAUUUUUAGAAGAUCUUUUAAUAUUAAGUGUUAUAUCCAAAAGAGAUUCGACAAAGACUGAUAUAAAGAUAAAUAUCUAAAAUAUCGCAUUAAUCAUACAAUAAGUUAAUCACAUUUUUUCAAGAGUGCGGUUGUUUUGAAAAAUAACCAAAUAAAUUAAUAGUUAAUUAUAUUAAACAAAAUAUAAACAUCACAUUUUCACUUAUUAAAUAUAUUACCUUUUAUGUACAAAAGAUUUUCAAAAAAGGCCAGCAGAGGCGGACCUAUAUUCAUUGGUUUGAAGGCAACUGCACAUAAAAAGUCAAUUUCCAUUAGUUUCCUAUUAAUUUUUGAAAAUAUUAUCUUUGAAUGGGGGCAAAUUUAUAAAUAAAUUUCCCAUUAGGGUGUCAAUUUUAUAAAUUAUUAUUAUUAUUAUUAUUAUGAUAUUGCUCCCUAUGAAUCGACUUCCUAAAUCUGCUUUUGCCAAAGAGACGAAGGAAUUAAUCUAAAAAUUUUUCCAUGGUAUAGAUAUUUGAAGGUCUAAAUAAAUGUUCAUUAAUUGUACAAUUUAUUUCACCUGAUACAAUUUUUUCAAUGCUAAUUCAUAUGAUAAGCCAUUUAUGGGACUUGCAUAAACAUUUUUUCUAUUUCUAACAUUUGUGAUAAAGAUAUCUUGGAAAAAGAAAACAUGUAUGAUAGCAAUAUGACAUGAGAUUUUUUUAAAAUUAGUACAAUUUAUAUUAGCACUUGAUCCUUGAAUGUUUAAUAAUAAUAAUAAUAAUUUUCCCUCGAGAAGUCUAACAACUGUAAAAGUAAAAAUAGAGAUGUUUUGGGUAAUUUUUUAAAACACAGAAACUAAUUAUUACUAUUACAGACUAGCAAAGACUACACUCUUAUUAUGGUAAGACAUUUGUAGGACCAAUUAAAUAUUUUGCUCCUCAAUGCUAACUAGUAUGAUAAGACAUUGUAAGACCUAUUAAUUUUAUUAAUGCCAGUACACUUUCUUAUGACGCUAAAAUGUGUGACAAGAUAGUAAGAUACCUUUUCAGAAAAAAAGAAAGAAAAAGAAAAAAGUCAGAGGAUGUUUAAUAAGAUAAACAUGGGACAAUUACAAAUUUUGAAAAAAAAAAUGAAAACAACAUUAAUCGAAAUUUUAGGCAUAUAUUUCUAAAAGAUCUUUAAACAAAUGUUACAUUUAGAAGAUCAGAUUCAAAAGAGAUUGAUUUAAAGAGAAAUAUGGGUGUAAUUGUGUUAGUCAUAAAACAAUUUAAUAACAUUUUCUUUAUUCAUAUGACAACAACUAAUGAUAUUUUUUCAAUAGUGCUUUCUUUUUGAAAAAUUAUAAAGUAAAUGGAGAGUUAAUUAUAUUAAACAAAAUAUACAUGUCAUAUUUUCACUUAUUAAAUGUAUUGCUUUUUAUUAUAACAGAAAUUGGAAAAAGGCGACGAAACUAAGGAAUUAAUUUAAAAUUUUCUGUGGUAGAAUUUGAAGGUCUAAGUAAGUGUUCAUUAAAUUGUACAUUGUAUUUCGUUAAUAUAAUUUUUUUUUCAAUGAUAACUAUUAUGAUAAGACAUUUUAUAGACCCGUAUUAAACGUUUUUUUUUCGAUGCUAACAUGUGUGAUAAGAUACGUUUAAAGAAAAAAAAUUGUGUGUGACAAGACAUACAUGAGAUCAUUACUAAAUCCGGGGGAAAAAAAACAAACUUAGGCAUCCAUUUCUAGAAGAUUUAAAUCAAGUGUUACAUUCACGGGCGAUUCGAAGGAGAUUGAUUUAAAAGAGAAAUAUUGGAAGUAUUGCGUUAGUCAUAUACACAUUUAAUCAUAUUUUUUUAAGAGUGUGCUUGUUUUGAAAAAUUGUCAUAAAUACACAUUUGUUUUGAAAAAUUAUCGUAAAUGCACAAAUGGCACAAGAUAUUUAAAGAUUAGCACGGUAUAAAUUAACACGGAAUUCAAAUUUAUUUUCAAUUUCAGUAAUCUUUCUUUUUCAAUGACUAGAACUGAAUGCUUAAAUGAUUUGUGUACUUACUCUUUUUACAAGGUUGUGAUUAGUGGUUGUUAGAUAACAAUAUAUAUGAGAUUAAAUUUUAUUCAUGUAUUACUAUAAAUAUACACAUGACAUAAGAUCUUUAAAAAAUCAGCAUAAUACAGAUUCAAAUUUAUUUUCAAUUAUUGCAUGUUUAACUUGUUGGAAGUUUAAGUUAUACAAGACAAAAAAAAAGUAUUUUUUUCCUCGAAAAGUCUAACAAAUUUAGAAGUAAAGAUAGUGUUGUUUUGGGUGAUUUAAAAAAAAUAUAAAAAUGAAUUGUAUAAUUAACCACGACUCUACAGGCUAACGAAGGAUAUACCCCUAUUAUUAUUACACCUUAUACAAUUUUUUUCAAUUAUAAUACGAAUGAUAUACCCCUAUUAUAUAUAUUUUAGUGGCUUAAAAUACAUCAACUAAUUAAUAUAGGAAGGAAGGUUUCUUCAUCUUCCCUCACCAAUGCCACUAGGAUAUAAUUUUAAUGCCAUAAUCUCAUAUUUAAUUAUGCAACAUUUUGUUUAAUGUCUUUUGACUUCUUCAAACUCUAUAAACAUUAAGUAUUUAAGAUUUGUUAUGUUUGAGUUUUUUUUUUAAGUAUUUAACCAGCAUCCUCUUUAGAAAUAUUAUUGUGUUUUUAUUUUUUGACUUAUUUGAAUUUUUAGUAUUGUAUGCCUCAUGGAAUACUCUUUUCUUCAUGAGUUGAACAAUGAUAAAGAUAGUUGAAUGAUAAAUGUUAGGUUUUGUAGGAUGUGGGAGUUUGUUAAUACCAAGAAGAAUGGAGAAUUGAUUAGUGUGAACAUAAUUUUUAUUGAUGAAAAUGUUUUAUAAAAAAUUCUUCUCCCAUUGUUUCUCUAAUUUUUUUCUCAAUUGUUUUACACUUAAUGUAGCUUUUUUUUUUUCAAUAGGAAAAUCUAAUGCAUGCAACAGUUAGAAAAAAUUUAGUGACAAAGUUUAGGCACAUGUUGAGUGAAGGUUCUUUGUACAGUGUCAAGAAUUUGAAAAUUGUUUCAACUAUAGACGAGUACGAACCACUUUCAAAUCAGUAUAAGAUUAUUUUCUUGAUUAUAACUUCACUUAAGAGGUUAGAAGAAGGAACUGUUAAGAUUCCGAUCAAUGGAUUCUAAUUCAUAUCUUCGAAUUUGAUUGAUAUACGCCUCUCAUGUAUUUUUUUUAAUUAUUAAUAUUUGUUAAUCUUUAAGUGUAUAUUAGAGAUUAUUGAUCCUUAUAUUUUAACAUGUUUAUGUUGUUUUUCUGUAACAUUACAGAUGUUGUCGGAAGUUUAUGUGGUGUGGGUGAUAUUGAGAUCGUUGGAGCUGGUUGGAAAAAAAGAGAUAUAAAAGUUCUAAUAGAUUAGUAAGUUGAAUAUAAUUUAGAACUUAUCAACAAGACAACAACUACAAAAGGUAUAAGGUCUGUACAUUUACACUAUACACAUUAAUAUAUAUUUUUAAAGUUAACAAAAAAAUAAUUAAAUUUCAUAAAUAACAUUAGUUUUAUAAGGCUGUCUCAUCUUAAAAAAAAACCAAUUUAUAUUUUUUAUCAAUUUCAUCAAGUAUAAAAUAAGAAAAAAGGAUAAUACUAAAUUUUUUUUUUCAAAGCCGCGCGAAGCACGGUUCUAUUUCCUAGUUUAGAAAUAAAGCUAGUGAAGUUUUGGGUGAUUUAAAAAAAUAUAUAAAUGAAUUGUAUAAUUAACCACGACUCUACAAGCUAACGAAGGAUAUACCCCUAUUAUUAUUACACUUGAUGCAAUUUUUUUCAAUUCUAAUACGAAUGAUAAGAUAUAUUUAUGAAACCAAUAUUACUUAACAGUAUGUAAUUAAUACAACCAAAAUGUCUACGGUGAAAUGGGGCCAAAAAUAUAAAAUUUAAUAAAAAAAUAUUAUAUUAUAUUAUUAAAUAUUUUAGCACAUAAAAAGGUGAAUGUUUAAAACUUUCUCUUUUUUUUUUUGGUUGAAAAUUUUCUCAAUCUACAAAUAUCUUACAAUAUGAUAUUUUAUUGGGACACUGAAUAUAUUCAUUAUCCAAAUGUUGACGGAAAUAAACUCCUAAUAAGAAUGGAACUCAUGCACUUAAACGUUGAUUGUCGAGGGCGUGAACUAAAGGCCAAUGACAAGAAUGUUUGAAACUUGAAAUAGGAUUUGAGUGCCUUUAACAAUUGAAACCUUUCAAUCGGGGGUAAAAGGAGAAAAAAAGACAAUUGAAAUGGCAGGCAAUAAAAAUACAAUGACGAAAAUGAUAAUUCUUUAGUGUUUCUACAACAGAAUUUAGAAAGUUUUAGGUGGGAUGUUUUUGUAAUACAAUAAGAAUAUUGGUGUAGUUUUCUGAUAUUUCAACCUAAGAAAUUUCAUCUGCACGUGGCUAUUGCCAAGCCACGUGAUAAGUGGCUCUCCGUUUCUGGCUUACUGCCUAUAUAUAUAAUAAUGUUCCCAUCCUCCAUGCAAGGGAAGUAAGGGUUACAAUUGAAAUUGCUUCCUUACGCUCUUUUCUUUUCAAUCAUUAGUAGUACCAUAAGCUCCUAGAAGAAAAAAAGAAAAAAAUGUCUGAGGGCAGGGAUUUUAAUCGCCGGACAGCAAAUUACCACCCUAACAUUUGGGGGGAUCGUUUCAUCAACUACAAUGCAGAAGAUGAGGUACGUACAAUGCGUAAUUGGGAUUUUUUUGUUUUUGUUUUUCAACAAUUUAAAAAAGAAAAAAAGAAAAAUCAAUCAACAUCUUAUGUUAAUGUCUGCAUUGUAAUUAAAAAAUAUAUACUUCAAUGCACUAAAAUAUGAACAUUGUAUUAAAAUUUAUAUUCCUAGCCUUAUGCAGACGUCCCUAAAGGGCAAUUAUUUAUAUAUAUUAUAAGCAUGUGACUAUAUGUAGUGAAUGCGGAAAUGCAGAUUUAUCAUGGGGCUCAAUCGCAAGAAAUUGAAGAACUCAAGGAAGAAGUGAGAAGGGAACUACUGGGCAGUGGUGUUGAUUCUUUAUCACGGCUGAAACUUAUUGAUGCAAUCCUGCGUCUAGGCGUGGGAUAUCAGUUUGAAAGAGAGUUAGAAGAAGCAUUACAGAAUCUCUAUGAUGCAUUUUCCAAUCAUUUUUAUAAUAUUGAAGAUAAUGAUCUUUACCACGUUGCACUUCGUUUUCGAAUUUUAAGACAACGUGGAUACAAAGUUUCAUGUGGUAAGCUUGUUCAAAUCAUGCAGCUUCUUAGACUUUUAAGAUUAUGUUUGAUAUAACUUUUCAAAUAAAAUUUAUUUAAAUAGAAUUUUUACAAGUAAAGUUUUUGUUUAAAAAUUUUUAAUUGUUUAGUUAGCAAUGAAAAUUUUUACUGAAAAUUAUAAAAUAAUUUUUACAAGUAAAGUUUAUACUUAAAAAAUUUUAAUUAUUUAGUUGGCAAUGAAAAUUUUUAUUAAAAAUUAUAAAAUUAUUUUACCAGACAAUUUUUUAAAAGUUGUGUUAUGAAAAAAAUUAAAUAAGAUUGUCAAAUAAAUAAAAAUAUUUUAACAUUUAAAACAAACUUUUCAACAUCUACUUUCAAAAUAAUUUGACAUUUUCUUAAUGGAGACAAAAUAAUUUAUUUAACCUUUAAAAGUUCUGCUAAAAAAAACCAAACAAUAAUAAUAAUUUUUUUAUAAGAACUAAUAAAAUUAAAUAAGCACUUAUAAUCAUUAGAGAAACUAUACCAAAUAAGUUAUACACACACAACAUGUUACGCACGGCAGAUGCAUGUGCACACAUGAUGAAUUUGUAUAAUUUGUAGAACACGCGAAGUUGUGGUAUCAUAUCAGGUAAUAAUCAACUAAUAAUCAUUUCCAUUUAUUUUAUAUAUGAAUCAGAUAUAUUCAACAAGUUUAAAGAUGGCAAAGGCAAUUUCAAGGAGUCCUUGAAAAUCGAUGUGUCAGGGAUGUUGAGCUUGUACGAAGCAGCCCAUCUGGGCGUGCACGGAGAAGAUAUUCUGGACGAGGCUAUUGCUUUCACGACUGCCCACCUUCAAUCGUCCAUGGCUCCACAAGUGAUUCACGCUCUACGGCAGCCCCUGUACAAAGGCCUGCCGAGGAUUGAGGCCAGGUUUUUUAUCUCUCUCUACCAAGAGCAUGAACCUUUGCAUAACAAAGCUUUACUGAAGCUUGCGAAGUUGGAUUUCAACCAAGUCCAGUCAUUGUACAAGAUUGAACUUAGCGAAAUCUCAAGGUCACCUCCCGAUCAUAGCCUUCAUGUUAUUAAUUAAUAAGAAUCUAUAUACACACAAGCAUGCCUACACACACAUUGAGAAUACACAAGACAAGACGUAUAUGAUUAAUAUAUAUGCUAAUUAUUUAAAUAUAUAACUGCAUGCAUGCAGGUGGUGGAAGGAUUUAGACUUCGCUAGAAAGCUACCUUUCGCAAGAGACAGAGUGGUCGAGUGCUACUUUUGGAUAGUGGGGGUUUAUUUUGAGCCUCAAUAUUCACUUGCUAGAAAAUUGCUAACCAAAGUAAUCUCCAUGACAUCCAUCAUAGAUGAUAUCUAUGAUGUCUAUGGCAUACCUGAAGAGCUCGAUCUCUUUACAGCAGCAAUUGAUAGGUUUAAUUUGUUACUAUCUGGUGUUAAUCCUAUAUCAGCUGACAAUUAAUAGUCUGCUUCUUGGACAAAGUAUAAGAGGAAAUUUAGAAUAUAUCAGAUGCAACACAACCAAUCAAUGCACGUAUGACAUGUGUAAUUGAACAUAAUAUAAUCACCACUUACAUGAUGAUUUUUCAAAAUAAAUACUCACAUGUCACAUCAUCAUUUUUUUUAUUGUAUGGCUAACGUGAUACAUCAGAUAUAUUAUAGAAUUUCUUAAAGUAUAGAAUAAUUAAUUUUAUAAAAAAGUACUCUUUUAAUCCUUAUAAUAUGAGAUAAUUAUUUAGUUAGUCCAUAUAUUUUAACAAUUUAUCCGAGAUAUCAUUGUAGUACAUCUAUUUCAAUUAAAGUUUAUUACUCUACUUAAAUAAUAAUAAUAAUUAUAAUUAUUAGAUGCAUGUCAUACUUGUUUGAAGUUUAAGUAAUAUCCAACAACUAUGGAAGAAUGACAAAGAUAUUUUAUGUAUAAUUCAUGAGUAUAAGCUGGUCUUAAUGGACUUUUUUUGUAUAUUAAGGCUCAAAUUACCGAAAACAUUAAUAGAUUACAUUUAAUUGAGUUUAACAUUAUAUGACAAUUUGCAACACAUAAUUGUUUACAUAUAAACCUAACGUUGGAUUAAAGAUCCAACAUUUUUUGGUAAAUCAAAUACAUUAGUUAUGUCAUCAGUAGUAUGUGUCAAAUCAAGAAUGAGUUCCUGAUUCAGGAAAAUAACCGGGUGGCUUUUGAGUUUCAGGUGGGAUGUGAGUUGCAUCGAUCAGUUGCCAGAAUACAUGCAAACAUUUUAUGUGGCAUUGUUAGAUCUUUACAAAGAAAUUGAGGAAGAGUUGGCAACGAAAGGAUGGUCAUACCGAGUCCACUAUGCAAAAGAAGAAGUAAAUCAAUAUUACUUAUAAAAGUUAAUCAAGGAUAUAAGAUUUUCCAUCAGAAUUUUGAUCACGACAGUAUUAAUUGAUCAUUUGUGACAUUGAAUCCAUGGCAGAUGAAAAUUCUAGUUCAUGGCUACCAUGAUGAAUCUAAAUGGUUCCACAACAAUUACGUUCCUACAAUGGAGGAGUACAUGCGAGUGUCCCUAGUAACCUCUGGUUACUCUAUGCUUACAGCAGCAUCUUUUCUUGGUAUGGACGGUGUAGUGACAAAGGAGGCCUUUGAUUGGGUGUCUGGUAAACCUAAGAUUAUUAGAGCCUCAACUAUAAUUGGAAGACUCAUGGAUGACAUCAAAUCACAUAAGGUACGUAUACGUUACGUACAUACAUGUGCUUAUAAAUUAUAUAUCACUUUAGAAUUUGGAUACACGUUAAUCAACACACGUGAUGUGGUUACUUGCAUGUACAGUUCGAGCAAGAAAGAGGACACGCGGCGUCGGCUAUCGAGUGCUACAUGAAGGAGAAGGAGCGCGAAGGCGUGAGUGUGACAGAGCAAGAGGUGCAUGAAGAGUUAUAUAAGAAAGUUGGCGAUGCAUGGAAGGAUAUAAAUGAAGAGUGUCUCAUGCCCACCGAGGUGCCAAGGCCUCUCCUCAUGCGAGUUCUAAACCUAUCAAGAGUAAUUGAUGUCAUCUACAAGGAGGGUGAUGGCUACACCCAUGUUGGCCAAGUGAUGAAAGAUAAUAUUGCAUCCGUGCUCAUACAUCCAGUUGCUAUUUAAGAAUAAUCUCGGGCCUGCCAGAACCCGAAUCGCACUUCAUACCCAAAUAAAUGUGUGUAAAAAAUAAGAGGCCCAGUCAAGAAUAAAACUUUAUCAUCUGUUUUUCUUUGAAGAUUGCUACUGCUAUCAUGAAUAAUCGACUAUUGAAUUUGCAGAAUUUUUGUUUUAUUAUCUAGUUUUUAUAAGCUAUCCCUUAAAAAAAUAUAUAUUGUUGCAAGCAAACCCAAAAUAUUGUUGAAUUAAAGCCAAAAUUACUAAAAUUAAACUUAAAAUUUCAGUAGCCAACAAUUAACAAAGUAGAAGGUAAAAUUUUCCAUUUUAAUAUAAACACAACAUCGGCCUAACACCCUGCCUUAGCCUCGGCCCAAAGACACAAUCUGGGGCCAGCGGUGCAAGUUGGGUUUAGGCCGAGGAUGUCGUCCAGGCCCAAGUCGCAUCAACCCAACACUUCGGUACAUUUUUAUGAUUUUAUCCCUUAAAUACGGUUUUUAAAACCAGUGACUCUACAGAUUAUCAAUUGGACAAUGUUGCCCCACAAGUUUUCCUAUUCUGAAUCUAAGCUUGUUAUAGUUUCGUGUGGAAUUCAGCAAACCUCCGGAAUCGAAAUCACCUGCACUCAUCAAGUAUCAUGCGAAGCGAACAAUUUUCAUUUUCAAUCCAAACAAUAUCUUAGAUAAAUUCUAAAAUAUAAUCAUAAUUGGGGAAAAAAAAAAAGAGUCAGAAAUCUCGUGUGGAUAGUGCCGCUCAUAGCACCAUUAAAGGCAAUGGUGCUGCGUUCGCACGAUGAUAUCAUCACUCUCUUUCUCUAAAAGUGAAAUGAAGAAAAACAAAGAAGUUAAGCCACACACAAAAUUUCGUACCCCUUGAGCUCCAUGAGAAAAUCUCUUCAGCCAAGCAAAACUAUCAUAGGAGGGCCCUUUUAUAGGGCGCUUAUCUGGUUGCCCUAAUUUACACAGCCCGAUCGUCUCGAUAGGGUCAGCGAAUGAAUGAAACGACGCCGUUAAAUAAACGGGUAACUUAAAAUAUCCUGUGUUCGCGUUUUCUUUGGGCGUGCAAACCCAAAUUGAAGCCCAAGACAUAUUUAUACUCAAUUGCUAAAAAGUCCCCGUUUCAGAAAUUAAUAUUGCAAAAGAGCCUCCAAAGUCCAACCUGGUCAAACCCAUUAACCCAGCCUGCCAACAAGUCCCAAUGUGUAAAAUAAAUUUAAUAUCCGGGUAAUCGUGUCAAUUUGGUAAAGGUAGUGGGUAGAAAAGUGCAAAUUUAAUUGUUAUUUAAACGAAUACCAAGUAGGGUUUAGCCUUCCAGCUCUAGAGCACAACGAGUCAGUCGCCGCAGCAGCUCAGGUUCCCUCUCUGCCCUCUCAAUCUAUCUUCUGCAAAUGUUUGGUUACUGAGAAUGUGAAGGAAAAGAAAAAAAAAAAUGAUUUUCUCGGUAACCAAAUAUCGAUUAAAAACUAUUACAAGAUAUGAUUACGUGUAUGUACAUUUGUAGUUUUCAUAUAUAUUGUUCUCAAACAACUAUGAAACUGUUAGCUUUUAAUAUUGUUCGCUGGAGUUAGCGAUCAGCGUUUGCCUGAUCUGUGGUUCUGUGUUUCGUAUGGCCAUUCAUAAUGUUUAGGCCAUUGUUAUUGCGUGAGUUGAGAUCAUUUUAUUUGGAUAAGAGAUAUUAGGAAAUUAAUAUUUUUGUUAUUGUUAUAUUUGCAGAGGAGAAGAAUGUCUCACAGGAAGUUUGAGCACCCAAGGCAUGGUUCCCUUGGAUUUCUUCCAAGGAAGCGAGCUGCUCGUCACAGAGGAAAGGGUAUGAUGUUGUUUUGUUAUGGCAUUAAGAGCUGACAAUCUUAUUCAUAGAGUUAGUUUUAUUGGAUAUGGUAAUUUGUUUGUCUUGAGUAGUUUUGUUUGCUUCGGUGCUUUUUGCAGUGAAGGCUUUUCCCAAGGAUGACCCAAGCAAGCCUUGCAGGCUCACUGCCUUUUUGGGUUACAAGGCUGGGAUGACCCACAUUGUUAGGGAUGUCGAGAAACCUGGAUCUAGUAAGCUUUUGUGAAGCUUUGAUUGAGUUAUUCAUAAUUCCUAGUGACUACAAUUUGGAUGACUAUUUUGUGUUUUUAACAUUCAUUUGGAGAAAAGAGGUUUUGAAAAUUUGACAUUCCUGUACUAUUAAGAUAUAAUAUCACUAAAUGUGAUGUGCAAUGUCAUUCUUCUGGCUUAGCAAACAGAAUAGUAGCAUAUUAUUUGCAAAUUUAAUGAUUUGUGUCUGUUUGAUUGUUGUUUUUUACUAUUAAUUCAUGGUUCUAUCCUGGAUAACAAACUCUUCAGUAUUUCUUUGCAAAUAUUUUGGUUUCAAAAAAUUAAUUCGUUGAUGUAAUUUUUUUUUCCUUUUCGGUAGUGUUAUAUUUAGAUUGUGCAAUGUUUUGUAUCCAAUUCGACUGCAAUUUUGGAGUUCUUAUAGGACUUUAUUAUCCAUGAUCUUGUAAUAUUAGGUGAAGAAUGUUUUUUUUUUGUUGAAAAUUCUUAUCUUAACAAUAUUUGCUUCUUUUCACCUUUAGAGCUUCACAAGAAGGAGACCUGUGAGGCUGUUACCAUUAUUGAAACCCCUCCAAUGAUGGUGGUUGGAGUUGUGGGAUAUGUGAAGACACCUCGUGGUCUUCGCUCUUUGAACACUGUAUGGGCUCAGCAUCUUAGUGAGGAGGUGAGAAGAAGGUUCUACAAGAACUGGUGCAAAUCCAAGAAGAAGGCUUUCACAAAAUACUCAAAGCAGUAUGAAACAGAUGAAGGGAAGAAA